rnacentral:rRNA from 1 species
UGGGGAAUUUCGGACAAUGGGCGCAAGCCUGAUCCAGCAAUGCCGCGUGCAGGAUGAAGGCCUUCGGGUUGUAAACUGCUUUUGUACGGAACGAAAAGCUUCUCUCUAAAUACAGGGGGGCUGAUGACGGUACCGUAAGAAUAAGCACCGGCUAACUACGUGCCAGCAGCCGCGGUAAUACGUAGGGUGCAAGCGUUAAUCGGAAUUACUGGGCGUAAAGCGUGCGCAGGCGGUUUUGUAAGACAGUGGUGAAAUCCCCGGGCUCAACCUGGGAACUGCCAUUGUGACUGCAAGGCUGGAGUGCGGCAGAGGGGGGAUGGAAUUCCGCGUGUAGCAGUGAAAUGCGUAGAUAUGCGGAGGAACACCGAUGGCGAAGGCAAUCCCCUGGGCCUGCACUGACGCCCAUGCACGAAAGCGUGGGGNGCAAACAGGAUUAGAUACCCUGGUAGU